CAGCCGCCGCGGGAAAACGUAGGUGGCAAGCGUUGUCCGGAAUUAUUGGGCGUAAAGGGCUCGCAGGCGGUUUCUUAAGUCUGAUGUGAAAGCCCCCGGCUCAACCGGGGAGGGUCAUUGGAAACUGGGAAACUUGAGUGCAGAAGAGGAGAGUGGAAUUCCACGUGUAGCGGUGAAAUGCGUAGAGAUGUGGAGGAACACCAGUGGCGAAGGCGACUCUCUGGUCUGUAACUGACGCUGAGGAGCGAAAGCGUGGGGAGCGAACAGGAUUAGAUACCCCUGUAGUCCCUGUCUCUUAUAA
rnacentral:rRNA from 1 species